rnacentral:rRNA from 1 species
UACGUAGGGGGCAAGCGUUGUCCGGAUUUAUUGGGCGUAAAGAGCGUGUAGGCGGCCUGAAAGGUCAGCUGUGAAAACUCGAGGCUCAACCUCGAGACGUCGGUUGAAACCAUCUGGCUAGAGUCCGGAAGAGGAGAGUGGAAUUCCGUCGGUGAGCGGUGAAAUGCGCAGAUAUCAGGAGGAACACCGGUGGCGAAGGCGGGUCUCUGGGCCGAUACUGACGCUGAGGAGCGAAAGCAUGGGUAGCGAACAGGG